CGCUGGAGAGGUUUCAGCCCAAUGCACCAUGCACAACCCAUGCACAACCCAUGCACAACCCAAUGCACAACCCAAUGCACCAUGUAUACAUGUCGCUCAGGAGCUCUACCAGGGCAGUCCCGUUUGUUCUCUAAUAUAAACAGACAAGUUAUAUUUGCAUGAUUUAGCUUAUUCAUUAUCCAUAAUUCAUGUGAACAAUACAAUACUGGUUCAAGCAUGUAACGAGGCUUCUUCUCUCCAAGCUGAGACCUUGAAACUGAGAUAUCGUUCUCAAAACAUGGGUCUGGGCGUCCUGUCAAAUUGGAAAUACUACAGUGAGCGGAUUUCUCCCAGGCACGUUCAGUCAGUCACUUGCAUGAAAUUGGUUAUUAGAAAAGAACAAACAUCAACAUUUACAGCACAGGUUACUCUGACGGAAAACUACUCUCAGCUGAGGUAGCGGUGCCUAACAGUAUAACAAAUCCCCUUUUUUUCUUUUUUUGGGGUUGGCAAGUGUUCAUAAAUUAUAGUUUGAAUGGUAAAUUUAUUUGUGGCAGUACAGUAAAUGUACUCUUGGCAGUACUCACAGUUCAAGUGUGGUUCAUGUCAACAGAGUUAACCAGUAAUCUUUCUUCCUUCAAUGAACACGUGCGGGCCCUUGAACCCAGGCUUCUUUCCCUCUUGUCAUGUCUUCUGUAUAAGCGGCCACAGUUUCUACCUCAUGCUUUCAAAAAUGGACACAAACCCAUGAAUUAUACAUUGCUAUGGCUGUACUCCUGGCAUUCUGUGCUGUUAGGGGUCAUAAUGCAGACGGGAGUGGCUGAGGAGAGAGAAUAUUUAUUUAAACUGUUACCCCCUGGGGGGUCAAUAAAUCACAUCAUUUCUUCGUCAGGCCUGGGUGACCUCAUUUUAAUACCCCACAUCACAUUAAUAAAUUAUUAAAAACAAGAUGUGUGUCUCAAAGGGCAACCUAUUCCCUAUAUAGUGGACUACUGUUGACCAGGGUCUAUAGGGUAGUGGACUACUGUUGACCAGGGUCUAUAGGGUAGUGGACUACUGUUGACCAGGGUCUAUAGGGUAGUGGACUACUGUUGACCAGGGGUCUAUAGGGUAGUGCACUACUGUUGACCAGGGCCCAUAGGGUAGUGCACCACUGUUGACCAGGGCCCAUAGGGUAGUGGACGACUGUAGACCAAGGUCUAUAGGGUAGUGGACUACUGUAGACCAGGGUCUAUAGGGUAGUGGACUACUGUAGACCAGGGUCUAUAGGGUAGUGGACUACUGUAGACCAGGGUCCAUAGGGUAGUGGACUACUGUAGAUCAGGGUCUAUAGGUUAGUGGACUACUGUAGACCAGGGUUUAUAGGGUAGUGGACUACUGUAGACCAGAGCCUAUAGGGUAGUGGACUACUGUAGACCAGGGUCCAUAGGGUAGUGGACAACUGUAGACCAGGGUCUAUAGGGUAGUGGACUACUGUUGACCAGGGUCUAUAGGGUAGUGGACUACUGCUAACCAGUGUCUAUAGGAUAGGGGACUACUGUUGACCAGGGUGUAUAGGGUAGUAGACUACUGUAGACCAGGGUAGUGGACUACUGUAGACCAGGGUCUAUAGGGUAAUGGACUACUGUUGACCAGGGUCUAUAGGGUAGUGGACUACUGUUGACCAUGGUCCAUAGGGUAGUGGACUACUGUUGACCAGGGCCCAUAGGGUAGUGGACUACUGUAGACCAGGG
rnacentral:lncRNA from 1 species